AUUGAACGCUGGCGGCAGGCCUAACACAUGCAAGUCGAGCGGAUGAAGGGAGCUUGCUCCUGGAUUCAGCGGCGGACGGGUGAGUAAUGCCUAGGAAUCUGCCUGGUAGUGGGGGAUAACGUCCGGACACGGGCGCUAAUACCGCAUACGUCCUGAGGGAGAAAGUGGGGGAUCUUCGGACCUCACGCUAUCAGAUGAGCCUAGGUCGGAUUAGCUAGUUGGUGGGGUAAAGGCCUACCAAGGCGACGAUCCGUAACUGGUCUGAGAGGAUGAUCAGUCACACUGGAACUGAGACACGGUCCAGACUCCUAAGAGAGGCAGCAGUGGGGAAUAUUGGACAAUGGGCGAAAGCCUGAGCCAGCCAUGCCGCGUGUGUGAAGAAGGUCUUCGGAUUGUAAAGCACUGUUGGUUGGAAGGAAGGGCAGGAAGUUAAUACCUUGCUGUUUUGACGUUACCAACAGAAUAAGCACCGGCUAACUUCGUG
rnacentral:rRNA from 1 species